AAUGGAUUUUAUGCAAACUAAAUGAUAUUAAUUAUUUCUGCUUUUAGAUUUUCAGCUAUUCAAUCAAUCAAUAAAUAAAUUAUAUUUUAAAAAACAUAUGACCUAUUUUUCAAAUAUUCACUGCUAAAGGAAGUGUAUUAGCAUCUCUCCAAUUCAAUUUCUUGUUUUUCUUUGUCUGCCCUCUAGCCUGUGCAAGUCCACUUGGGGUCACUGUUCCAUAUACAACCGAAGGCUUCCUUCUGGAUUUUCAUUCAGAAAACUCUACAUGGAAUUAGAUGAAGGAAGUCUAACCUUCAACGCCAACCUGCAAGAGGGUAUCAGUUACUUCAUGUCCAGAGGUAUUCUUGUGGACCACCCGAAGGAAAUUGCCAAGUUUAUAUUCUAUACCAGAAUGCUGAAUUGGAAGAUGCUGCGGAUUUAUCUUGAUGAACGGCGAGAUGUCUUGGAUGAGCUUGUCA